GGACUACGGAUUAGAGGACAAAACGGUCCGAAAGUGGGAAAAAUUUGCGACGUUGGCUAGAAAUUGAUGGAACGGUGGGGAAAGACACAUGACCUGGACUCUAACAAGACCUAACUAGCAACAAGACCUCGAAAUCGGAGUUCGUAUGCGAAAGUUAUGGCUGUUUUAUGAACGGACUCCGAAUUAGAGGACAAAACUGUCCAAAAGUGGGAAAAAUUUGUGGCGGUGGCUAUAAAUUGAUUGAAAUGGUGGGGAAAAACACACGAACUGGACUCUAACAAGACCUAACCAGCAAUAACACCUCGACCAGGACACAAACUCGACACUGCGGACUCUGAAACUGAAAUAUGCAAAGGCUAUGGCGCGGAAGGGUUGUAGGACAAGAAAACGAUAUGGACUCGACUUAUGGGACGAACACAAGAACACUCGAAACUAAGGGUAGAUGUGAACCUAACGGUAUACCUGAAGCUUUGAUUACCACUUGAUGAGAACAAGGGUGACCCGAUCUUCAGAAAGGUUAUGAUAACUCUCGGUUUGGUGGAGACGAGACACAAAUCGAUCCGGCUUUCAAACAACACGAUACGAAACUCUGCAAUUUUUUUUUAUUUUUUUGAUAUUUUUCUUUUACUUAGGAGCACUAAAGAACUAACCAUAGAAAAUUUGAGCUUAAACAAGUGAAAGACGUGGCCUGCGGAAUUUUCUGAAAAUUGUGACAAAUGUGAAAAAAACAUCACGAGGUGAAGACUCAAACUUCGGAGGCAAAUUUGGAGAUUCUAAAAUUUUCAAACCAGCCAGAAGCAGGAACAGACAGAUCUGAAAUUUUUUUCUGAUUGAUUUUGAUAUAUGGAACGUUGAAAUCGGAGUUCGUAUGCGAAAGUUAUGGUUAUUUUACGGACGGACUCCGAAUUAGAGAACAAAACGGUCCGAAAGUGGAAAAAAAUUGCGGCGGUGGCUAGAAAUUGAUGGAAAUGGUGGGGAAAAAUACACGAACUAGACUCUAACAAGACCUAACCAGCAACAAGACCUCGACCAGGACACAAACUCAAAACUGCGGAGUCUCAAAGUGAAAUAUGCAAAGGCUAUGGCGCGAAANNNNNNNNNNNNNNNNNNNNNNNNNNNNNNNNNNNNNNNNNNNNNNNNNNNNNNNNNNNNNNNNNNNNNNNNNNNNNNNNNNNNNNNNNNNNNNNNNNNNUAAGGGUAGAUGUGAACCUAACGGUAUAUCUAAAGCUUUUAUUACCACUUGAUGAGAACAAGGGUGGCCCGAUCGUCCAAAAGGUUAUGAUAACUCUCGAUUUGGUGGAGACGAGACACAAAUCAAUCCGGCUUCCGAACAACACGAUCUGAAACCCUACAAUUUCUUUUAUUUUUUUUGAUAUUUUUAUUUUACUUAGGAGCACUAAAGAAGUAACCACAGAAAAUUUGAGCUUAAACAAGUGAAAGACGUGGCCUGCGGAAUUCUCUGAAGAUUGCGAAAAAUGUGAAAAAAACUUCACAAGGUGAAAACUCAAACAUCAGAGGUGAAUUUGGAGAUUAUAAACUUUUCAAACCCACUGUUGGUGGGUACAGAUAGAUCCAAAAAAAUUUUCUGAUCGAUUUUGAUAUAUGGAACGUUGAAAUCGGAGUUCAUAUGCGAAAGUUAUGGCUGUUUUACGAACGGACUACGAAUUAGAGGACAAAAUGGUCCGAAAGUGGGAAAAAUUUGCGGCGGUGGCUAGAAAUUGAUGGAAACGGUGGAGAAAAACACAUGAACUGGACUCUAACAAGACCUAACCAGCAACAAGACCUCGACCAGGACACAAACUCAACACUGCGGACUCUGAAACUGAAAUAUGCAGAGGCUAUGGCGCGGAAGGGUUGUAGGACAGGAAAACGAUGUGGCACUGGACUUAUGGGACGAACACAAGAACACCCGAAACUAAGGGUAGAUAUGAACCUAACGGUAUACCUCAAGCUUUGAUUACCACUUGAUGAGAACAAGGGUUGUCCGAUCUUCCAAAAGGUUCUGGUAACUCUCGAUUUUGUGGAGACGAGGCACAAAUCGAUCCGGCUUCCGAACAACACGAUCUGAAACCAUGCAAGUUUUUUUUUUAUUUUUUUGAUAUUUUUCUUUUAUUUAGGAGCACUAAAGAAGUAACCACAGAAAUUUGAGCUUAAACAAGUGAAAGACGUGGCCUGCGGAAUUCUCUGAAGAUUGCGAAAAAUGUGAAAAAAACUUUACGAGGUGAAAACUCAAACUUCGGUGGUGAAUUUGGAGAUUAUAAAAUUUUCAAACCCCCCAAAGGCGGGGACAGACAGAUCCAAAAAAAUUUUCUCAUCGAUUUUGAUAAAUGGAACGUUGUAAUCGGAGUUCAUAUUCGAAAGUUAUGGCUGUUUUACGAACGGACUCCGUAUUAGAGGACAAAACGGUCCGAAAGUGGGAAAAAAUUGCAGCGGUGGCUAGAAAUUGAUGGAAACGGUGCGGAAAAACACAUAAACGGGACUCUAACAAGACCUAACCAGCAACAAGACCUCGACCAGGACACAAACUCAACACUGCGAACUCUGAAACUGAAAUAUGCAAAGGCUAUGGCGCGGAAGGGUUGUAGGACACGAAAACGAUAUGGCACUGGACUUAUGGGACGAACACAAGAACACCCAAAACUAAGGGUAGAUGUGAACAUAACGGUAUACCUCAAGCUUUGAUUACCACUUGAUGAGAACAAGGGUGGUCCGAUCUUCCGAAAGGUUCUGGUAACUCUCGAUUUGGUGGAGACGAGGCACAAAUCGAUCCGGCUUCCGAACAACAUGAUCUGAAACCAUGCAAGUUUUUUUUAUUUUUUUUUUGAUAUUUUUAUUUUACUUAGGAGCACUAAAUAAGUAACCACAGAAAAUUUGAGCUUAAACAAGUGAAAGACGUGGCCUGCGGAAUUC
rnacentral:lncRNA from 1 species